CUGGCAUGGAGUGAGCUGGGCCUCCGAGAAGUGUAGAAGGCAAGGUCGAAGAUGCAACAGGCUGAGAAUGAAGCUGAUUCUCCUCCCACUGGCCACACUGAUGUGGAUCAAGGCUGUCCCAGGGAAAGAAGCCCAAGGCAUCUGGCCUACACGCUGAUCUAUACCACCCUCCAGGAAGCAUAGGACAAAGUGACCUGAUUCAUAUCUAAAGUUAUAUGAUCACAGAUAACCAGACCCCACCUGUACUGAUGCCAUUUUAACAACUUUUUUACAUGAUCUUUCCUUUGUCUGGUAAAAAAUAACUCACAUACCUAUGCCUUAUAAAGUUAGCCCUACCCUCAGUCUACUGCAGC
rnacentral:lncRNA from 1 species